AUAGGAAAAAUACAGCCACUUAAGAUUAAUGAUACUAACAUUAGAAUAUCUGGAUCAGGUCCAGAUGUUGAUUAUGAAUCAUGGACUAUACUAAUACAUCCAAUAGCACAGGAUACAAAUUGCUACACACAACUCAUAGCACCUGAUAACAUAACACUAAGUUCGUCUAUCACUGAUAUAUUAUUCAUUUCUGAUGUUAUAGCAGUUUUUCCUGA